UCUAGCACUUUAAUGGUACAUAGUUUUUCCUGUAAUUUUGUAGAUUAAUCUUGUAUGAACAUUUCCCUUAUCAUGUUUAGAGAACUUGUAGGUUUUGCAAUUUGUGAAGAGACACUGGGGCAUACAUACACCCCUUCUUGCUGGAAAUUCAGUCUACAUGGAUCUUUUAUUUCUGAAGAUUGGCCAGUCUUGUCCCUCGUGUACUUGUGGACGUGAGCAGUGUUAAGGCGUUAUGCAUCCUCUGGUAUCCGAGAGAUAACCAAAAAGCACCUCAGAAGAUAAACAAGCACAGGGCCAUGGAUGACAUUAAGGAGAGCAUAGCGCAGAACUUAAAUUUUACCAGGACAACAUAUUCAAACACCGGACAAAGAAAUGACAGCAAAAGGCAGACUGGGAAUUAUGCAGGGAUAGGGAGCACUUGCUUUAUGUUUUACUCAGAAACCUAAUCUUUGGGCUACUACUGGAUGUCAGGUCAAGAGUAAAAUCGUCUGAAAUUCAUUCAGAUUGAAUUUGAUACAUUUUCUGGAAAAGAAUUUUCUUGCCAAGCAUUUUUUGUGGAUAAAUAUUAGCACUUGUAGUCGCAGUACUACAAUCUUCUGCUGAAGUUAUGAAAGGGAAUGCAGGGGAAUAAUUAUUGUUGGUCA